UACGAAGGGGGCUAGCGUUGUUCGGAAUCACUGGGCGUAAAGGGCGCGUAGGCGGCUUUUCAAGUCGGGGGUGAAAGCCUGUGGCUCAACCACAGAAUUGCCUUCGAUACUGUUAGGCUUGAGACCGGAAGAGGUGAGUGGAACUGCGAGUGUAGAGGUGAAAUUCGUAGAUAUUCGCAAGAACACCAGUGGCGAAGGCGGCUCACUGGUCCGGUUCUGACGCUGAGGCGCGAAAGCGUGGGGAGCAAACAGA
rnacentral:rRNA from 1 species